GACGAACGCUGGCGGCGCGCUUAACACAUGCAAGUCGAACGGAAAGGCCUGCUUUCCCUUGUGGAUUGCGGGUACUCGAGUGGCGAACGGGUGAGUAACACGCGAGUGAUCUGCCCCCAACUUGGGUAUAAGCCUGGGAAACUGGGUCUAAUUCUCGAUAGGACUGCAGGGUGGUGCCUGUGGUGGAAAAUGAUUUUCUAGUGGUUGGGGAUGCGCGCGCGGACUAUCAGCGUGUUGGUGGGGUAAUGGACUACCAAGGCGGGGACGGGUAGCCAGCGGGAGAGGGUGGACAGCCGCACUGAGACUGGGAUACGACCCAGACUCCAACGAGAGGCAGCAGUGGGGAAUAAAGCAGCGUGAGCGGGAGCCAGAUGCGGCGACUCCGCGUGGAGGAUGACGGCCUUCGAGUUGUAAGCUCCUUGCGAACACGAGGAAGCCACCUAGUUGUAAGGGUGGUGACGGUAGUGGAAGAAGAAGCACCGGCUAACUACGUG
rnacentral:rRNA from 1 species